rnacentral:rRNA from 1 species
UUCUAUGGCCAUACCACCCUGAAUGUGCCCAAUCUUGUCUGAUCUCAGAAAGCAAACAGGGUUGGGCCUGGUUUGUACUUGGAUGGGAGAAUGUAACACGGGAAGAAUCUUCGUGACACAGAGA